rnacentral:rRNA from 1 species
GUAGAGGGGGAUAGCCCGGGGAAACCCGGAUUAAUACCCCAUGGUAUUAUAGAAUAGCAUUAUUUUAUAAUUAAACAUUUAUGGCUACAAGAUGAGUAUGCGUCCUAUUAGUUAGUUGGUAAGGUAACGGCUUACCAAGGCAGCGAUAGGUAGGGGUCCUGAGAGGGAGAUCCCCCACACUGGUACUGAGACACGGACCAGACUCCUACGGGAGGCAGCAGUGAGGAAUAUUGGACAAUGGGCGAGAGCCUGAUCCAGCCAUGCCGCGUGCAGGAAGACUGC